CACCUGCAUCACCUGCAUCCCUUCCUGAGGAAGGUUUGGGAUUGCUUCAGUCCCUGUGAAACACUGAGCCCACCAGACCCAAUCCCUGGAAUAAAACAUCCUGAGGCCUCCACCAAACCCUCUCUGGGUGUGGACACAGCUUAGAACAUUGAUUUUUAAAAGCAAACCUUCACUGUUUGGUGCUGGAGCUCGUGCUCUGACUGCCCUGCCCAGCGGGAUUUGCUGCUCUGGGAAUUCCUCGUGGAUUUUGGAUCCAAACAUGAACCAGAGGAGCUGCUGAGUGCCCCAGCUUGGACAGAUGAGAUCCCAGCUUAGAGAGAGCAGUACCUCAAUCAAAAGCUGAAAUCACUGUAUUUAUUCAUUUCAGAGGAUUCUGCAGGUGCCCCCUGAGUGCCCUGAGCACAAGGCUGGGAGCCAGGAACCCCAGCCCACCUGGGACCCACCAAGGGGAUCAGAAGGGACCUUCCUGCCCCCUCAAGGAGGAUCUGAGAGGGUUUUGGUCUCUUCUCCCCAGAUAGGAGAAGAAGAAAUGGCCUCAAGUGGUAUCAGGGCAAGUUUGAGUUAAAUAUUGGGGGAAUUCCUCAUUGUGCAGCCCUGGCACAGCUGUCCAGGGCAGGGCUGGAGCCCCCAUCCCUGGGGGGAUUUCACAGCCCCACGGAGGUGGCACCUGGGGACAGGGGCAGUGGGGCUCAAUGACCUUGCUGGGCUUUUCCAGCCUGACCAGCUCUGGGAUCCUGUGGCUCUCUGUGUCCCCAGCUGUGCAGCACCCACAGAACGCCCCCAAUAUCCCCCCCCUGGGGGUGCAGGGGUCAGACACAGCCAGGUUUGGGGUCCGUCAGUGGGGCAGGGCUGUGCCAGGUGCUGCUCGUGGCUCUGGGGGUGCAGGAGUCAGACACAGCCAGGUUUGGGGUCCCUCAGUGGGGCAGGGCUGUGCCAGGUGCUGCUCGUGGCUCUCAGCAGGAGCAGGCCUUGCCCAGCUGGGCACAACAAUCCCACCAGGACCCACCUGGGGGCUCCUGCCUGGCCAAGGCUCUCUGGGAUUGCCCCAGCAGGGGCUGCUGCUGCUGGGGCUGUGCCCUGGUGCCCAGGAGGGGCUGUGCAUCAUUCCGGUUUGACGUGAUGAGGGGCAGUGACUGGUGGGUUAGCUGGUGUAAAGGUUUCUGGGUCACCUGGGAGGUUGGGGGAGA